GACAGGAUACUGACACUUCAGAUNNNNNAAGCGUGGGGGAGCAAANCAGGAUNNNGAUACCCCUGGUAGUCCACGCCGUAAACGAUGUCUACUUGGAGGUUGUGGCCUUGAGCCGUGGCUUUCGGAGCUAACGCGUUAAGUAGACCGCCUGGGGAGUACGGUCGCAAGAUUAAAACUCAAAUGAAUUGACGGGGGCCCGCACAAGCGGUGGAGCAUGUGGUUUAAUUCGAUGCAACGCGAAGAACCUUACCUACUCUUGACAUCCAGAGAACUUUCCAGAGAUGGAUUGGUGCCUUCGGGAACUCUGAGACAGGUGCUGCAUGGCUGUCGUCAGCUCGUGUUGUGAAAUGUUGGGUUAAGUCCCGCAACGAGCGCAACCCUUAUCCUUGUUUGCCAGCGAGUAAUGUCGGGAACUCCAGGGAGACUGCCGGUGAUAAACCGGAGGAAGGUGGGGACGACGUCAAGUCAUCAUGGCCCUUACGAGUAGGGCUACACACGUGCUACAAUGGCGCAUACAGAGGGCGGCCAACUUGCGAAAGUGAGCGAAUCCCAAAAAGUGCGUCGUAGUCCGGAUUGGAGUCUGCAACUCGACUCCAUGAAGUCGGAAUCGCUAGUAAUCGUGGAUCAGAAUGCCACGGUGAAUACGUUCCCGGGCCUUGUACACACCGCCCGUCACACCAUGGGNNNNNGCUGCAAAAGAAGUAGGUAGUUAACCUUCGGGGGGAC
rnacentral:rRNA from 1 species